rnacentral:piRNA from 1 species
UGCACAGAAAGGCUACAAGGUGCGGUC